UAUUUUUCUAAUAUAAAAAGUAUAAUUGGCUUCCAACCAAUAAGUCUGGGAUACCCAGGAAAAAUAA
rnacentral:tRNA from 2 species